GCUGAUAUAGCUCAGUUGGUAGAGCGCAUCCUUGGUAAGGAUGAGGUCCCCAGUUCGACUCUGGGUAUUAGCACCA
rnacentral:tRNA from 3 species